AUGUUGCUUUUUCCUGGCUGAUGGGUCUCUCCUUCCUUUCUGAAUAUCAUGGUGUGCUGUGGCUGGAGCCAAGUCUGGCAGUCUGUCUGACACUGAUCACCCUGGGGAAACUGAGGCAGCAUGUUACACCAGUAAAUGGUUCUAGAACACUUCCCAUGCCUACAGCCUUAGAGGAUCUUUUUUAGAACCCUGAAUGCCUUUUUAAAAAAGUUUAUCUGUGAAGAACAAUCCCUGAGAAGAAGCUGCUUUGUGCAAAAGAGGAUGCAAAAUAAAUUACAGGCACCACGUCCUCGAUGACAGUUCAAACAAACAACAGGACCAAUGUCACCACAUGCAAGUGCUCUGCUGUUGGAAUCAGCAGCUCUGGGAUAGUCUCGAAAGUGGGCAAAGUCUUGUUACAGUCAUUACCACGUCCCUCUGUAUUCCUGUAUCCAAACUCUUCAUCCCUCCCCAGGGACUGGACCACCUUGGGAAAGGUUGUAGACCAACCAUACUGCUAACCCAAGACUUUGUUGUCUUCAGAAUGAUGAAUUAAAAUUACACAGUGCUUUCUGAUUUCAAAAGCACUUUCACCUAUGUUAUCUUUUUUGAUUUGUAUGACUACCCUUUAAGCGAAAUAGUAUUAUCUCCAUUUUCAGUUUGGAGAAUUUAUAUGACAUGUCAUACUGAAAGUGAAAGAGCUGGAAGGCAAAACCAUCUUCUGACCACUUAUUUAUUGGUCUUUCCACAAAAAUAUAUCUGUCCUUGUUCUAGAAUAAGACCAGUGCCCUGCUGGUCACUUACUGCCCUAUACCUCAGUGAGAUUGGUAUCACUACAUCAUUUUCCAGGCACUAAAUAAAAUAUACCAACAUUAAGUGUUUCAUUCGAAAUCAUGCCACUUGUAAGUAUCAUGGCUGGGAUUUGAACCUCCACCUGCCACUGCCAAAGCCCUAAUGUGUUCCAUCCUUCUAGUAGUUCUAAACCCUGGCCAAGAGUCUGAUUGCCUGGGCUGGAGUAAGGGCAAGAUAUGACAGUGGUAUGUUUCAGAAGCAUCCCAGAUGAUCCUAAUCUGUAGCAAAGUUUGAGAGUCACUGCCCCUUAUGACUGUAACUUUCCAGAGUGCUUACAAUAUGUUUAUUGAACUUGAAAGUUCCUGGGGAAGGCAUGUAGACACAUAUGUGUCCAUACAUUGACAUACACCUCUUCCCACCCCUCCACCUAAGUUACAAGGGAUGAAGACUUCCAUUCCACAGUGAACACUUUUUGGAAUAGGAAAUCCAGUCACUUGAACUCAGGAGUCACCUUAUCUGAGCCUGAGGGCCUAUUUAAAUGUGACUGGGCAGAGGGAGGGAAUGUGAGAGGGCUAGGAAGUUGAGUCCGAGAGGAGACACAAAGACAAACUUGGACAUCUUUGCAGUUUUACCUGAAGUCAAUGUGCCCCAGGAAGCAGCCAAGUCUUGGCAAGCAGCAGUGAUCACUUAGACUAGAAUCAGACCUUAAUCAACCCAGCUUGCUGUAGCUCCUAAACAUUUAGAGGUUUUAAAUGCAGUACUUUUGGGACCUCUUCAAGGUAGUUCAAGGUAGACAAUGUUUGUUGAUUUCCUCUGUGUCAUUGGUUCAUUUAAUAACUAGGAAGAGGCAGAGGCUCACUCUGAUGUGGCGACUCCUUGGUUGAUGUCUUAAAGCCACAGAGACCUUCUUCUGGAUCCCAAAUCUUAAGGGGAUUGGUUGGGUAAUUUCACCUAAACAGGAAUAACACAUCAUAGCACAUUGCCCCCUUUGCCAUUAUUAUAAUAUAACUCACUUAACCGGAGCAAAAAUGUUGGAUCUUGACAUUCCACCCAACAAGUCAUAAACUAGGACUUCAUCAGGCCAAAGAGAAGGUCAAGUGGGAAGUGUUUGAAGUCUGGGUAUUAGCUAGAGUAUUAGGUGGGAGGUGAGCCAAAAACCUACAAGAGUGGGAUAUCAGUGGACAGAGACCGUCAGAAGUCAGACGUUCCCAAAGUCCAGGCAUGGGCCAAGGAAUGAAUGGGUAAUUCUGGUUAGAAAUGGGCUACAAGUAAAAAGGCUGGGGAACCACAGGAGACCAAGGGGCUCCCAGCUGCUAGGGUCAGAGACAGGCUAGAGUUCUCAGAGGUGAGGAAUCUUUGCAGCUGUCUUGACAGAAGGGAUGGCAGCAUUUGGGUGGGCGAAUGCCCAGAGAUGGGAUCUCAGAGGUGAGAAGGGAAUGCAACUGCUCAGGACAGAAGAAAGUGCAUGCUAAAGAUGGUUAGGAAGCUGUUUCUACUUAUUGAAGCAGAAUGAAUUCUUCCAUCUACGUUAACCUUACUGCUGGAUUUAUAUUGUGUGUGUGUGUGUAUGUGUGUGCGUGUGUAUUCUUUUAAAUGUAUAUGUAUUUUAGCAAGCUACCUCCCCAGCAGGUGUUGAAGCUUCCAGAGCAAGGGACUACAAGCUUGCUCACAUAGGUUUGGCACUCAGUAGGUGUUCGCUUUACCGGAUUCCUAAUCCAGUAUUCUUGACUGUCCUUCCCUGGAGGUUUCCACAUGGAUGCUCAAACCCAUAGAAAUGACAUUGCUAAAAAUUAUUUGGGUUCUUUUGUUCACCAUGGUCUCUGACACAAGGGUCACACUGGCAUGCAAAUCCAUGGCAUAAUGUUAGAGACCUUGUGUAUAUGUUCUGCCCAAAUAUCCUAACAAAAUAGUAUUGAGAACUGGUACAAGCUUGGCCAUGUGCUUAUGGUGCUAACCUGAGUUAAUGUACUCAAAUAUGUUACCAUCACCCCAGCUGAUUAAGCAAAACCAUCCCCAAGGAUACAGCCCUUUUCAUCUCAGUGAUUGUAAAUGGCUCUCUGAUAGCUCCUGGUAUUCUGCUUCUAGGUUUCUUAUUUGGAUCUCCCCCCUCCCCACCCCCCGCCAACCCCAGCCUGACAGUCUUCUAAUGAGGUAUGGCAUUUCUUUUUUCUGAUUCCCACACACUGGUAGAGCGAAAGCAAUGCUGUUGGCUGCUCUGUCUUACAGGUUUUGUAAAAAAAAGGAAAAAAGAGAGGAAGAGUUGAAGAAAGAAAAGAGAAGGAAGUGCAUAGAGAGAGAAGAAAGAAGAAAAGAAAUAUGGAAAGAAGGAUGAGGGAAAGUAAGAAGGACAAAUAAUGUGAAUCUUCUGGACAAUUUGCAUGUUGCCUUGUUCAGAAAGGUAUUUGAAUCCUUCAGAGUUUCUCUUUCAAGCCAGUUCCCUGACAGAACUUGAAUCAGGGGGGUCUGAGUGGCUCCGUAGGCUAAGCAUCUUCCUUAGGCUCAGGUUAUGAUCCUGGGGUCCUGGGAUCCAGCCCCGUGUCAGGCUCUCUGCUCAGUGGGGGGCCUGCUUCUUCCUCUCCCUCUGUCCACUGCUCCCCUUGCUUGUGU